rnacentral:rRNA from 1 species
UCGGCUUAGAGUUUGAUCAUGGCUCAGAUUGAACGCUGGCGGCAGGCUUAACACAUGCAAGUCGAACGGUAGAAGAGCUUGCUCUUGACGAGUGGCGGACGGGUGAGUAAUGUAUGGGGAUCUGCCAAAUGGAAGGGGACAACAGUUGGAAACGACUGCUAAUACCGUAUAAAGUCGCGAGACCAAAGUGUUUCGACAUGCCAUUUGAUGAACCCAUAUGGGAUUAGCUAGUAGGUAGGGUAAAGGCCUACCUAGGCGACGAUCUCUAGCUGGUCUGAGAGGAUGACCAGCCACACUGGAACUGAGACACGGUCCAGACUCCUACGGGAGGCAGCAGUGGGGAAUAUUGCACAAUGGGGGGAACCCUGAUGCAGCCAUGCCGCGUGUAUGAAGAAGGCCUUAGGGUUGUAAAGUACUUUCGGUAGUGAGGAAGGUAACUAUUAACAUAGUUAAUUGACGUUAAUUACAGAAGAAGCACCGGCUAACUCCGUGCCAGCAGCCGCGGUAAUACGGAGGGUGCGAGCGUUAAUCGGAAUGACUGGGCGUAAAGGGCAUGUAGGCGGAUAAUUAAGUUAGGUGUGAAAGCCCCGGGCUCAACCUGGGAAUUGCACUUAAAACUGGUUAUCUAGAGU